AUUGAACGCUGGCGGCAUGCUUUACACAUGCGAGUCGAACGGCAGCACGGGCUUCGGCCUGGUGGCGAGUGGCGAACGGGUGAGUAAUAUAUCGGAACGUACCCAGAAGUGGGGGAUAACGUAGCGGAAGUUACGCUAAUACCGCAUACGAUCUAUGGAUGAAAGCAGGGGACCGCAAGGCCUUGUGCUCCUUGAGCGGCCGAUAUCUGAUUAGCUAGUUGGUGAGGUAAAGGCUCACCAAGGCGACGAUCAGUAGCUGGUCUGAGAGGACGACCAGCCACACUGGAACUGAGACGCGGUCCAGACUCCUACGGGAGGCAGCAGUGGGGAAUUUUGGACAAUGGGCGCAAGCCUGAUCCAGCAAUGCCGCGUGAGUGAAGAAGGCCUUCGGGUUGUAAAGCUCUUUUGUCAGGGAAGAAACGGUAGAGGCUAAUAUCCUUUGCUAAUGACGGUACCUGAAGAAUAAGCACCGGCUAACUACGUG
rnacentral:rRNA from 1 species